rnacentral:lncRNA from 1 species
CGCACAGAAAGAAACAGAAGGGGCCAGGAAGCCUCCGGGGAAAUCUGAGGGCAGUCAUUGGCUAACAUGGAAGGGCUCACAAAACAGGCUUCCUCCAGAGGUUCCUUUAAGGGCAGUAAAAUUUCCCAGAACUUGAACCCAUAACUCCACACUCUGAGACAAGAAUUUCCUCUACUCCUUUCAAGGAUAAAUGAGGCAAUGAACAUAGGACACAGACAAUAACAGUAGCUACUUCAAAAAGUGUUGAGGUUUACACGAGCUAAUAUGCAUAGAAAGAACACUGCCCAGCUCACAGCAAGAAAGCUUCAAGUUGAGCUUUUCCAAUCUGAUUGCGAACUUGAUGACAACUGAAGAUACAAUGCCUGGUUUUUCUCAGUAGUUCUGCUCCAACAGUCUAAAACGCAAUCACAAAAGACACGUUGUUUCAAAUGGAAAUUCUAUCCUGAAGUGAUUCACUCCAGCACAAACUGAAAACCCAUCCCCGAUGGACCUUGACUAACCGUAAUGGUCUCAAUGUCUGCAAUUUCCUGUCAAAUAUGAGAACAACAUCCCAAAGUGGGAGAACAGAUGAAACAAGACGGAUAAAAUACUGAGAAGUCUUGAAUAUAAGUGAUAGGAGAGAAGGUUGUUACCAUCCUUGGUG